AGCAAACGCUGGCGGCGUGCCUAAUACAUGCAAGUCGAACGAGGAAAGCUUUCGGGUGAGUACUAGUGGCGCACGGGUGAGGAAUAUAUGGGUAAUCUGCCCUCGAGUUGGGGAUAACCAGUCGAAAGACUGGCUAAUACCGAAUAAGACCACAGGAUCUGCGGAUCUGGGGGUUAAAGGUUUUUCGCUUGAGGAUGAGCCCAUACGGGAUUAGCUAGUUGGCGAGGUAAUGGUUCACCAAGGCUACGAUCCCUAACUGGUCUUAGAGGAUGAUCAGUCACACUGGAACUGAGACACGGUCCAGACUCCUACGGGAGGCAGCAGUAGGGAAUAUUGCACAAUGGGGGAAACCCUGAUGCAGCGACGCCGCGUGAGUGAUGAAGGCCUUCGGGUCGUAAAGCUCUGUCGUAUGGGACUAACACAAUGAAGGUACCAUGCAAGAAAGGAUCGGCUAACUUCGUGCCAGCCGCCGCCGUAA
rnacentral:rRNA from 1 species